UUUACAUCUUUACAUUUACUAUCUUUCUCAUCCUCUGGGACUUUCUACUUAGGACUCUGUCACUUUUAGGGUACUGGUAUACAUAUGAAAUAAUUCUGGUAAUAUCUUUGCUAUGUAAACUUCCUAUCUGCCUAAAUGUGUAAAAUUGCAUCUCUAGUCCAUAUUUGUUUAAAGCAUAACCUCAAUGAGACGUUAAAAUGAAAGUAUAUAUGGAAAGCAAGUUUCUAGGCAGACUGCGCAUGCCCGGGCAGCAGACUGAUUGCAGUACCCUCCUCUAAGUCCCAUCUUCAAAACCCCUUCUUCUAUCAGUUUAAUUUUAAUUUAAAACUUUACUUAAUAUAUAUUUAAUUUUUAAUUUUGGGUGGAAGUUUCCAGGGGAAAGAGUAGAUGUGGUCAGACUAGAAAAGGAGUGUUACUGGGUGGCACGAUGAGAAAUUCACAGAGAAUCAAUAAAUACCAUAUGUUUUGAAAAGGAAAAAAGUUAGACAACCCAAAAAAGACAAUAACAAAAGAAGAAAAGAAAGCUAGGAUUCUCUUUAACAACUAGCUUCCAGAAAUAACGUCCACAGGAAGAAAGUCAUACUAGUAUUACUCAAAAAAGAGGAAGAUAGGCCAAGAAAUAGGUUCCUAAAUUUAGAAAGUGUCUUAAUUUAUUACUGUUGCUAUGAUAAAACACUGAUGAAAAGCAACCUACAGAGGACAGGUUAACACUUCACAAUAUACUCCUUGUUACAGUUAACUACUGAGGAAUGUCAGGGCCCAAACUGAAGCAAUGCAGGAAUCUAGAGGAAAGAACUGAAGCAGAGGCUAUGUAGGAGUGCUGCCUCAUGACCUGCACCUCAUACCUUCCUUUAUCUCAAUAUAGCUCAAGGGUGGCACCAUCCUGCAGAUCUUGUCCUUACAAACUCCAUUGUUAAUCAGGACAAUAUCCCAUAGACUUUCCUAGACAAUCGGCCAAUCUGGUGUUACAGUUUCUCAACUAAAAUUCCUCUUCUCACCAACUUGUCUUAUUCAUUUUCUAUUGCUUUAAUAAAGCACUGAGAUUAAAGCAGCUCAUAGAAUGAAAUACUUAUUUGGGAAUUAGAUAUCCAGAGAGAUUAAUGUCCUUCAUAGUCAUGACAGAGGAGCAUAGCUGCAGGAAGGUAGGACAACCAACAGGAAGCAGAGAGCUGGUGGCUCUCAUCUUAGGCAGCAAACACAAAGCACAGAGAGUACACUGCAAAUGGCACCUGCCUUCUGUGACCUUAAAUUUAAUCAAUGACAAACCUCCUAUGAGGAGGCCAAGCCAUUUCAACCACCCAAAAGUUGUCACAAAGAUGGUGUCAUAUAUUGUGAUGCCUGCAGUUACACGGCCAUCCCAUUCAAAGCAUCAAAAUAAAACUUUGCCUCUGUCCCCAAACCCCUGCAAAAAAAUCACCAAUUCAAGAAGCCUUGGAAGUCAUUGCUGUGAUUCACCAGUCAUUAUGGCAGCAUAUCAGUUCUGAAAUGUUACAUUGCUUUAGUAGUUUCCCCAUUCUUUGCAAUAUAUAUGAAAUUUUAACUAGGUUAAGUUAGUUGCAAAGAACUUAGAGUCUCCAUUUCAGACAUAGACUUCAUUUCACAGUUUCAUAUCUGCUUGUAGUUACUGCUACUUUCCUUAUCAUUUUGGAUAUCAAUUUUUUAUUAUCCAAUCUUUUUUUGGCCAUGUGGUGUUACAGAUAUCUAUCAUACAUAUCAUGAUUGACAACUGUGUAGAUAUAUUUGGAUAGAAUAACAAUAUCGUUGUGACCAUAACCAAAAGAGGUCAGAUGACAUAAAGACAUCAGUAAAUACUGCUGCAGGGGAAAAUGAAACAACUUCAACAUAUAUCUUUUCACAAUGGAAAUUUCCUCAUGACUGAAGAAGUUGCUGGUCAUUUUAUUUCAGUGUUCCCUUCUACCUCCCUCUUAACCACAGCAGAAGAGAUUAUUAUGAGAAACAACUUCAGUUUUAUAUUUAACCAUAUUGUUACAUAGUUUCACUCACUAUAUUUAUUUUAUGUUGUGUAUUACACAUUCUUAUCUAUUAAUAUUAAUAAAUGGUAUUAAAUUAUGUUA